UACGAAGGGGGCUAGCGUUGCUCGGAAUCACUGGGCGUAAAGCGCACGUAGGCGGGCUCUUAAGUCAGGGGUGAAAUCCUGGAGCUCAACUCCAGAACUGCCUUUGAUACUGGGAAUCUCGAGUCCGGGAGAGGUGAGUGGAACUGCGAGUGUAGAGGUGAAAUUCGUAGAUAUUCGCAAGAACACCAGUGGCGAAGGCGGCUCACUGGCCCGGUACUGACGCUGAGGUGCGAAAGCGUGGGGAGCAAACAGG
rnacentral:rRNA from 1 species